rnacentral:lncRNA from 1 species
UGUCAAUCGAACCUUAAUAUAAGUUAAGCAACUAUAACAUGUUAUUAACCACGAGCUUUAAUAUAACUUAAGCAACGAUAAUUCGGGCGGUGUAUACGUGUGCAUGUAUAACAUGUUGUUAAUGUUAUUACCCAUUCCUGCGUAAUGCAACCGAGUCUCCCUCUCUUCCACUAAUUACUGUGCUCUCUCUCUCUACAUCUUGAUUCUUUCUCUCUGGCCAAGGAUUAGAUCCUCUAUUUUCUCUCCCUAUAUCUCUUCCUCUCUCUCUAACCCAUAAACGCACGUUAUCUUUCAAUAGUGGUGACUGGUGAGGUCUGCUUUGCUCUGCUUCCCUUUAAAUCUUUGUCCAUAUUAUUCAUUUUCACUUUGAUUCCGCAUACUCACUCUUACACCAUAAAUUUCAUUUCUCACUUUUUUUUCUCUCUCACCGUCCUUUAAAUUUCUCAUUUUCCUUCAAACGGAUUUGGUUUAUUAUUUCGUAAAGAUGAAAAUUAGGGUUUGUGAGUUGUGUAAUGCAGAUGCUGCAGUUUAUUGUCGUUCAGAUUCUGCGUUUCUUUGCUGGGCCUGCGAUUCUAAGGUCCACCAGGCUAAUUUUCUCGUAGCUCGCCAUGUACGCCGGCCAAUUUGCUCCGAAUGCAAGGGGAUAAUCGGAGAAAGCAUACCCGGCCUUGGUUUUCAGCCGAUGUGUCGUUGUUCGCCGGCUUCGGCGGGUAAUGAUCUAGUUUUGCUGUCGUCUUCGGAGUCUUCGAUUUGCGUUUCGAGCACUACAACGAN